rnacentral:rRNA from 1 species
GGGGCGGCGAGCCUACACAUCGGCAGUCGAACGAGAAAGUGGAGCAAUCCAUGAGUAAAGUGGCGACCGGGUGACUUUUUCGUGACCAAUCUACCCUUGAGUGGGGGAUAACCUCGCCCUUCCGGGGCUAAUACCGCAUAACAUCCUCGGAGCGGAAGUGCUGGGGAUCAAAGGAGCAAUUCACUUAAGGAGGAGGUCGCGGCUGAUUAGCUAGUUGGCGGGGUAAUGGCCCACCAAGGCGAAGAUCGGUAGCCGGCCUGAGAGGGCGCACGGCCACACUGGAACUGAAACACGGUCCAGACUCCUACGGGAGGCAGCAGUGGGGAAUUUUGCGCAAUGGGGGAAACCCUGACGCAGCAACGCCGCGUGGAGGAUGAAGUCCCUUGGGACGUAAACUCCUUUCGACCGGGAAGAUAAUGACGGUACCGGUGGAAGAAGCCCCGGCUAACUUCGUGCCAGCAGCCGCGGUAAUACGAGGGG